AUCUAUGGCCAUACCACCCUGAACAUGCCCGAUCUUGUCUGAUCUCGGAGGCUAAGCAGGGUCGAGCCUGGUUAGUACUUGGAUGAGAGAGAGAAGCAUGCUCUCUAAAGC
ensembl:rRNA 5S_rRNA 5S ribosomal RNA